rnacentral:rRNA from 1 species
UGCCUAACACAUGCAAGUCGUGCGAGAAUCAGGGGCUUGCUCCUGAAGAAAGCGGCGCACGGGUGAGUAACGCGUGGAUAACGUACCCGAGGGUUGGGAAUAACCUGCCGAAAGGCGGGCUAAUGCCCAAUAAGCUCAAGAGGAGCCCGCUCUUCUUGGGGAAAGCCAGCAAUGGCGCCCAUGGAUCGGUCCGCGUCCUAUCAGCUAGUUGGUGAGGUAAUGGCUUACCAAGGCUACGACGGGUAACUGGUCUGAGAGGACGACCAGUCACACUGGGACUGAGACACGGCCCAGACUCCUACGGGAGGCAGCAGUGGGGAAUAUUGGACAAUGGGCGAAAGCCUGAUCCAGCAAUGCCGCGUGAGUGAUGAAGGCCUUCGGGUUGUAAAGCUC